ACACAUGCAAGUCGAACGGAGAUUACAGGCGGAAGUUUUCGGAUGGAAGCUUGUAAACUUAGUGGCGGACGGGUGAGUAACACGUGAGCAACCUGCCUAUCAGAGGGGGAUAACGAUUGGAAACGAUCGCUAAUACCGCAUGACAUAGCGGAAUCGCAUGGUUCUGUUAUCAAAGAUUUUAUCGCUGAUAGAUGGGCUCGCGUCCGAUUAGAUAGUUGGUGGGGUAACGGCCUACCAAGUCGACGAUCGGUAGCCGGACUGAGAGGUCGAACGGCCACAUUGGGACUGAGACACGGCCCAGACUCCUACGGGAGGCAGCAGUGGGGGAUAUUGCACAAUGGGGGAAACCCUGAUGCAGCGACGCCGCGUGAGGGAAGACGGUCCUCUGGAUUGUAAACCUCUGUCUUCGGGGACGAAACGGGACGGUACCCGAGGAGGAAGCCACGGCUAACUACGUGCCAGCAGCCGCGGUAAUACGUAGGUGGCAAGCGUUGUCCGGAAUUACUGGGUGUAAAGGGAGCGUAGGCGGGCAGGCAAGUCAGGCGUGAAAUAUAUCGGCUCAACCGGUAACGGCGCUUGAAACUGCAGGUCUUGAGUGAAGUAGAGGUUGGCGGAAUUCCUAGUGUAGCGGUGAAAUGCGUAGAUAUUAGGAGGAACACCAGUGGCGAAGGCGGCCAACUGGGCUUUUACUGACGCUGAGG
rnacentral:rRNA from 1 species